rnacentral:lncRNA from 1 species
UCCUAUCACUCUUUGGUUCUGACACUAAUAAUAACAGUACUGUUUCUAUAUUUAUUAUUUUUCGGUAUUAUUCAUAUUUUUAUUCAACGGUUCAGAUUUAAUUUUUUAAAAAUUUAAUAUGUAAUAACAUGUCAUUUUGAGAAAGGUACGAGUUACUAGAUACCCCAAAAAAAAGUAUUUGGUUCUUUUAUCAAACUCUAUUCUCUCUUUGUUUCAUUUUUCUCUCUCGGUCUUUCCUCUUCAUCCAUAAUAAAGAUGUAAAGGGGUAGGAUUCGGGGCGAAUUUCAAAAACCCGAACCCGAAUCCAAAUCCAACGAAUUUUAAAAAAUCAUAUCCAUACCCGUACCUAACUAAAAAUGCGAAACCCGAAUCCUAGCCCGAACCUAAAAUAUUUAUUUCUCUUUACAAUAUUUUAAAAUAUAUUAAAUUAAAUCUAAAGUUUAAAAAUACAUAUUCAAAUAUAACAUCAAAUAUUUAUAUAUAUAUUAUAUAUAACGUAAAAUAAAUUCGGAUUCCGGUUGGUUUCAAAUUCUGAUCAGAUACAAUCAAAAUACAUAUCCAAAUUCAAAUCCGUCUGGUUUUCGUUUCUGACAUUCAUAUUCAAAACUAUAUCCGUUUAGUACAGAUAAAUCGACUGCGUUUGCUUUUGAAUUUGAAUUUAGAUUCAAAUAAAAUUAUAGAUGUCCGUACCCAUUGACAUUCGUAAUCCACAGAUAUUUUAUCAUUUCAUAUCCGUAAUCUACAGAUAUUUUAUUAAAAAAUAUUACAACAUUGAAUUUAAAUUUUUUUUACCUAUAUUUAAAUUUUUAAAAAAAUUUGUGGUAAAAAAUUAAUAUAUAAAUUAGAAAAAUUUAGAAGUUUCUUAAACAAAUUAAAUAUAUUGAAUUCGUUAUUAUCAACAUUAAAUUUGUUAAAAUAGUAACACAAAAUUUCUCUUAUUUAAAUUUAAAUAUUAAAUAUUUAAAUUCAACAUAUUUAGAAAUAUUACUAUUUUUACGAUUCCUAAAAUUUAAAUUAAUGCCUAAAUUAGAAGAAUUCUAAAAUUUCUAAAAUUAAUGCCUAAAAUUUGGGAUAUCAAUUAAAUUUUAAACUAAUGGUUAAAUUCGUGCAAAAUUAAUGCUAAAUUUGGGAUAUUAAUCAAAACUUUCUUAAAACUUUGCCUAGUAUAAUUACAAAAAUACCCUCAUAUGAAAUAACCUUUUAACCUGCUACAUAAUUAUAUAACAUUUUUAACCUUCAUUAAUCAACGGUUAAGAUUUUUUUUUAUAUAAAAUAAAGUACCAAAUCAUUUCUCUAAUAAUAAAACACAACUAGUGGUCCAAAUUUUGUAGAAGUCUACAAGUUAAACCCGCCUAUUUGAUAAAGUUGUAAGNGAGAGAGAGAGAGACGUCGAGAGAGAGCGAGAGAAAGCGGCGUGCGAGAGAGAGGGCCGGGACGAAGGCGAGAGAGAGAUGAAAAUAAUACUGUUAAUUAGAUUUGGAAUUUUUGGAGGGUAAAAUUGUCAUUUUACAUAAUAUGUAGUAUUAACGGGUUUCAGUAAUGCAAGAUACACGACCCCCCUCCCGUUAAUAUUUUUGAUGUAAUCCUGCUCGAUUUGUAAUGCUAUAUUAACGACUAGAUUACAUAGUGGAUUAACCAAACACAGUUAUCCUGGCAGGAUUGCCUGUAAUCCUGUCAGGAUAACUCGAACCAAACGCACCCUUAAGGCUAAAGGAUAUAACAAAAUAAUAAUAUAUAAUAUUAUAUUCUUUUUUCCUAUUAAAAAAAAAUAAAGCAUGCAGGGAAAGUGUACAAGAAAUUCCGCAGCACCUUUGAUCUGGAUGAUUCAUUCAUUCCUAGCACCAAAAGAAACAGAGAUUGGCUUUACUUCGCUCUCUCAGCUGGUGUGGACUAAGCUUUGCUCAUGAAGAGAAAUUAUUGGCUGGACCGUGUCCGUCACCUCCGCUCGUGGACCGCCAAUGUCAUCUAUCAUAUAUCCUUCUCUUUAGAUGAAAGGCAGAUGGUUGGGCGGUCCACAGCUGACGUGGUGAUCUGUGACCAUGCAGGAAUUUCUUGCUGCCGUGUGAAACAGUGAGAGAGGUUGAGAGGGUGAGCAAAAAUUCAAGAGCCGUGUGCAAGGAAGGGAUAUUUUGUGUUGACGUUCAGGGCACACAUUAUGCUGUUGACAAAAGAGAAGCAUGUUUCACCUUCUUUAAUGCUGCGGUGAACUUCUCAGUUCACAUCCUAUCACUCUUUGGUUCUGACACUAAUAAUAACAGUACUGUUUCUGUAUUUAUCAUUUUUCUGUAUUAUUCAUAUUUUUAUUCAACAGUUGAGAUUUACUUUUUUUUUUUUUUAAUUAUGACCUGUAAUAACAUGUCAUUUUGAGAAAGAUACGAGUUACUAGAUACCCCAAAAAAAAGUAUUUGGUUCUUUUAUCAAACUCUAUUCUCUCUUUGUUUCAUUUUUCUCUCUCGGUGUUUCCUCUUCAUCCACAAUAAAGAUGUAAAAGGGUAGGAUUCGGGGCGGAUUUCAAAAACCCGAACCCGAAUCCAAAUCUAACGAAUUUUAAAAAGUCAUAUCCAUACCCGUACCUAACUAAAAAUGCGAAACCCGAAUCCUAGCCCGAACCUAAAAUAUUUAUUUUCUCUUUACAAUAUUUUAAAAUAUAUUAAAUUAAAUCUAAAAUUUUAAAAUACAUAUUCAAAUAUCAAAAUCCAUAUCCGAAUUCAAAUCCAUUAGGUUUUCAUUUCUGACAUUCAUGUCCAAAACUAUAUCUGUUUAGUAUAAAUAAAUCGAUUGCGUUUGCUUUUGAAUUUGGAUUCAAAUUCAGAUAAAAUUAUAGGUGUCUGUACCCAUUGACAUCCGUAAUCCAUAUAUAUUUUAUCAUUUCAUAUUCAUAAUCUACAGAUAUUUUAUUAAAAAAUAUUACAACAUUGAAUUUAAAUUUUUUUUUACUUAUAUUUAUUUUUUUUUUUAAUUUCU